UACGGAGGGUGCAAGCAUUAUCCGGAUUCACUGGGUUUAAAGGGUGCGUAGGUGGGCAGGAAAGUCAGUGGUGAAAUCUCCGGGCUUAACCCGGAAACUGCCGUUGAUACUAUUUGUCUUGAAUAUUGUGGAGGUAAGCGGAAUAUGUCAUGUAGCGGUGAAAUGCUUAGAUAUGACAUAGAACACCAAUUGCGAAGGCAGCUUACUACACAAUGAUUGACGCUGAGGCACGAAAGCGUGGGGAUCAAACAGG
rnacentral:rRNA from 1 species